rnacentral:rRNA from 1 species
AGGACGAACGCUGGCGGCGUGCUUAACACAUGCAAGUCGAGCGAACCUUCGGGUUAGCGGCGAACGGGUGAGUAACACGUGGGCAACCUGCCCCGAGCUCUGGGAUAACUCCGGGAAACCGGGGCUAAUACCGGAUAUGACCCGAGAAGACAUCUUCUCGGGUGGAAAGUUUUUCGGCUCGGGAUGGGCCCGCGGCCUAUCAGCUUGUUGGUGGGGUAACGGCCUACCAAGGCGACGACGGGUAGCCGGCCUGAGAGGGCGACCGGCCACACUGGGACUGAGACACGGCCCAGACUCCUACGGGAGGCAGCAGUGGGGAAUAUUGCGCAAUGGGCGAAAGCCUGACGCAGCGACGCCGCGUGAGGGAUGAAGGCCUUCGGGUUGUAAACCGUCUUUCAGCAGGGACGAAGCGAAAGUGACGGUACCUGCAGAAGAAGCACCGGCCAACUACGCGCCAGCAGCCGC